rnacentral:rRNA from 1 species
GUGCCAGCAGCCGCGGUAAUACGUAGGUGGCAAGCGUUGUCCGGAAUUAUUGGGCGUAAAGCGCGCGCAGGUGGUUUCUUAAGUCUGAUGUGAAAGCCCACGGCUCAACCGUGGAGGGUCAUUGGAAACUGGGGAACUUGAGUGCAGAAGAGGAAAGUGGAAUUCCAAGUGUAGCGGUGAAAUGCGUAGAGAUUUGGAGGAACACCAGUGGCGAAGGCGACUUUCUGGUCUGUAACUGACACUGAGGCGCGAAAGCGUGGGGAGCGAACAGGAUUAGAAACCCUCGUAGUCC